GUCUACAGCCAUACCAUCCUGAACACACCAGAUCUCAUCUGAUCUUGGAAACUAAGCAGGGUUGGGCCUGGUUAGUCUUUGGAUGGGAUAAGCUGGAUAAGUUCUGAGGAUCAGAUU
rfam:TPA: Bos taurus chromosome 17, whole genome shotgun sequence.